rnacentral:miRNA from 2 species
GCCCGGAUUCUGUGUGUGCUGCG